rnacentral:tRNA from 1 species
AGCCCUGUGGUGAAGACCACGUUGGAUUGCAAAUCCAGAGACGUAGAUUAAUACUCUGCCGGGGCUU